rnacentral:rRNA from 1 species
UCAGGACGAACGCUGGCGGCGUGCCUAAUACAUGCAAGUCGAGCGGAUCUUUGGGAGCUUGCUCCCAAAGGUUAGCGGCGGACGGGUGAGUAACACGUGGGCAACCUGCCUAUGAGACCGGGAUAACUCCGGGAAACCGGGGCUAAUACCGGAUAAUUCUUUUCUACACAUGUAGAAAAGCUGAAAGAUGGUUUCGGCUAUCACUCAUAGAUGGGCCCGCGGCGCAUUAGCUAGUUGGUGAGGUAACGGCUCACCAAGGCGACGAUGCGUAGCCGACCUGAGAGGGUGAUCGGCCACACUGGGACUGAGACACGGCCCAGACUCCUACGGGAGGCAGCAGUAGGGAAUCUUCCGCAAUGGACGAAAGUCUGACGGAGCAACGCCGCGUGAGUGAUGAAGGUUUUCGGAUCGUAAAACUCUGUUGUUAGGGAA